GUGGAGUAAACAGAAACUCAGUAGGGACUGGCACAAGAGCAUAUUCUGCAAAGCGGCAGAUGGACAUAAGUCUUUGGUUUUCCCUAUGUGCUGGGAGUGAAUGCGAUCAUUUUCUGCAAUUUGACCAGGGAUUGUACUCAGAGAAGGUACAUUAAAGCUGGAAGACCAAUUGGACUUAAAUAGUCCAUGAUUUUCGUGCUAUGGACAAGAGAGCUGAGACCAGCCUGGGUUAAGAGGCACAGUGACUAUGAAACAGAUGUAACUGCUUAUGUUCUGAACUCCAGCACUGCCUUAUAAUUCAAGAAUCCUGGAGAUCCAUAAGAAAUCUGAUGCCCUCUGAUUCUUGUUCAUUGGUAGGUAAUUUGGUUUUGUUUUUUCCCCUCUCUCUGGUCUUCUGAACCUCCAUGGAUAUAUGUGGGUUUUCAUUUCAUUUAUUGUCCUUGCCAUUCAGUAGUACCUUUCAGUGUUACCCUUCACGUGUGGGAAUUAUCUUCUCUUUAUAUGUACUCUUUACAAUUCCCUCCUGUGAUGGUUUCUGUAAACUUACUAUUUAAAAAAAUGCCUUUUAGUCUAUUGUUGGACAUCCAGAAUUGAUUCUCUAUUUCUUUCAUGUUCCUCUUCCCAUUUUUUAGUUGGAUUGUUUUUGUUUGCUUGUUAUUGGGUUGUAUGAGUUAUUUAUUUAUUUUGGCUAUUCAACCCUUAUGCAAUAUGUGGUUUGCAAAUAUUUUUACCCAUUCUGUAGAUUGCCUUUUCUUUUUGUCGAUUGUUUCU